UACGUAGGGUGCAAGCGUUGUCCGGAAUUAUUGGGCGUAAAGGGCUCGUAGGCGGUUUGUCGCGUCGGGGAGUGAAAACCAGGUGCUUAACACCUGGCCUGCUUUCGAUACGGGCAGACUAGAGGCAUUCAGGGGAGAACGGAAUUCCUGGUGUAGCGGUGAAAUGCGCAGAUAUCAGGAGGAACACCGGUGGCGAAGGCGGUUCUCUGGGAAUGUCCUGACGCUGAGGAGCGAAAGUGUGGGGAGCGAACAGG
rnacentral:rRNA from 1 species